rnacentral:rRNA from 1 species
GACGAACGCUGGCGGCGUGCCUAGUACAUGCAAGUCGAACGAACUCUGGUAUUGAUUGGUGCUUGCAUCAUGAUUUACAUUUGAGUGAGUGGCGAACUGGUGAGUAACACGUGGGAAACCUGCCCAGAAGCGGGGGAUAACACCUGGAAACAGAUGCUAAUACCGCAUAACAACUUGGACCGCAUGGUCCGAGCUUGAAAGAUGGCUUCGGCUAUCACUUUUGGAUGGUCCCGCGGCGUAUUAGCUAGAUGGUGGGGUAACGGCUCACCAUGGCAAUGAUACGUAGCCGACCUGAGAGGGUAAUCGGCCACAUUGGGACUGAGACACGGCCCAAACUCCUACGGGAGGCAGCAGUAGGGAAUCUUCCACAAUGGACGAAAGUCUGAUGGAGCAACGCCGCGUGAGUGAAGAAGGGUUUCGGCUCGUAAAACUCUGUUGUUAAAGAAGAACAUAUCUGAGAGUAACUGUUCAGGUAUUGACGGUAUUUAACCAGAAAGCCACGGCUAACUACGUGCCAGCAGCCGCGGUAAUACGUAGGUGGCAAGCGUUGUCCGGAUUUAUUGGGCGUAAAGCGAGCGCAGGCGGUUUUUUAAGUCUGAUGUGAAAGCCUUCGGCUCAACCGAAGAAGUGCAUCGGAAACUGGGAAACUUGAGUGCAGAAGAGGACAGUGGAACUCCAUGUGUAGCGGUGAAAUGCGUAGAUAUAUGGAAGAACACCAGUGGCGAAGGCGGCUGUCUGGUCUGUAACUGACGCUGAGGCUCGAAAGUAUGGGUAGCAAACAGGAUUAGAUACCCUGGUAGUCCAUACCGUAAACGAUGAAUGCUAAGUGUUGGAGGGUUUCCGCCCUUCAGUGCUGCAGCUAACGCAUUAAGCAUUCCGCCUGGGGAGUACGGCCGCAAGGCUGAAACUCAAAGGAAUUGACGGGGGCCCGCACAAGCGGUGGAGCAUGUGGUUUAAUUCGAAGCUACGCGAAGAACCUUACCAGGUCUUGACAUACUAUGCAAAUCUAAGAGAUUAGACGUUCCCUUCGGGGACAUGGAUACAGGUGGUGCAUGGUUGUCGUCAGCUCGUGUCGUGAGAUGUUGGGUUAAGUCCCGCAACGAGCGCAACCCUUAUUAUCAGUUGCCAGCAUUAAGUUGGGCACUCUGGUGAGACUGCCGGUGACAAACCGGAGGAAGGUGGGGAUGACGUCAAAUCAUCAUGCCCCUUAUGACCUGGGCUACACACGUGCUACAAUGGAUGGUACAACGAGUUGCGAACUCGCGAGAGUAAGCUAAUCUCUUAAAGCCAUUCUCAGUUCGGAUUGUAGGCUGCAACUCGCCUACAUGAAGUCGGAAUCGCUAGUAAUCGCGGAUCAGCAUGCCGCGGUGAAUACGUUCCCGGGCCUUGUACACACCGCCCGUCACACCAUGAGAGUUUGUAACACCCAAAGUCGGUGGGGUAACCUUUUAGGAACCAGCCGCCUAAGGUGGGACAGAUGAUUAGGGUG